GUGGGCCUACGGGAGGCAGCAGUGGGGAAUAUUGGACAAUGGGGGAAACCCUGAUCCAGCGACGCCGCGUGAGUGAAGAAGUAUUUCGGUAUGUAAAGCUCUAUCAGCAGGGAAGAAAAUGACGGUACCUGACUAAGAAGCCCCGGCUAACUACGUGCCAGCAGCCGCGGUAAUGCGUAGGGGGCAAGCGUUAUCCGGAUUUACUGGGUGUAAAGGGAGCGUAGACGGCUGUGCAAGUCUGAAGUGAAAUGCCGGGGCUCAACCCCGGAACUGCUUUGGAAACUGUACAGCUAGAGGGCAGGAGG
rnacentral:rRNA from 1 species